rnacentral:rRNA from 1 species
GGCCAGACUCCUACGGGAGGCAGCAGUGAGGAGUAUUGGUCAAUGGGCGAGAGCCUGAACCAGCCAAGUCGCGUGAAGGAUGAAGGAUCUAUGGUUUGUAAACUUCUUUUAUAUGGGAAUAAAGUGAGGAACGUGUUCCUUUUUGUAUGUACCAUAUGAAUAAGCAUCGGCUAACUCCGUGCCAGCAGCCGCGGUAAUACGGAGGAUGCGAGCGUUAUCCGGAUUUAUUGGGUUUAAAGGGUGCGUAGGUGGUUAAUUAAGUCAGCGGUGAAAGUUUGUGGCUCAACCAUAAAAUUGCCGUUGAAACUGGUUGACUUGAGUAUAUUUGAGGUAGGCGGAAUGCGUGGUGUAGCGGUGAAAUGCUUAGAUAUCAGGAGGAACAUCGGUGCCGUAAGCGCUUUACUGGGCCGUAAUUGACGCUGAGGAACGAAAGCCAGGGUAGCAAAUGGGAUUAGAUACCCUAGUAA